AAUUCCUAUGAAAGGAGAGAGGGAUAGCACUCCCCUUGACAAAGAUGGAUGAAACUGUGCCUAACAACAAUGUGUGUGGCUGAAGGGGUGCCAUGUCCUUUCGGGCAUUUGAUGUAUGUGUGUGU